GACGAAGGCGUAUCGUCCUCACUUAGAAGAAUUUUCAUCAGGAAAAUACGCUAUUGUGUUCAAAGGGUUGAUGGACAUUGGGAAACCGAAUCUUGUCGUUUCAUUUGAAAUUGUACAAAAUUAAGAAUAAUACAUCAACGUGUGCAGUAUCAGUCAGAGUCAUCUCAACAACAACAUUCAAAACCGUCAUAGCAACCUUUCCAGAACGAGUUUAAAUCUCAGCAGUUUCCAUUUUUGUCAGUCUAUAGUUGCACAUUAUGAGGCUAGAAUUUGUCGAUAUUCAGUGAUUUGUUGGACAAACUGCUCUAUUCAAUAUAUAUACACAACCGUAGUGAAUUUGGAAGACUUUGAAGAUUCAUCGUGGUGUGUUCCAAAAUUCAAGAAAAACACGCCGUUCUGUAUGGGUCAUUCCAAAGGAAAUUUGUUCAGCUGCAGUCUCAAUAACGUUGAUAUUUUAUAUAAAUGGCUUUAUAAUAUACUACCAAAAUAAAUAAAAUACAUAUCA